rnacentral:rRNA from 1 species
UACGUAGGGUGCAAGCGUUAAUCGGAAUUACUGGGCGUAAAGCGUGCGCAGGCGGUUCUAUAAGACAGAUGUGAAAUCCCCGGGCUCAACCUGGGAACUGCAUUUGUGACUGUAGAGCUGGAGUACGGUAGAGGGGGAUGGAAUUCCGCGUGUAGCAGUGAAAUGCGUAGAUAUCGAGAGGAACACCGGUGGCGAAGGCGGCCAACUGGACGAACACUGACGCUGAGACUCGAAAGCGUGGGGAGCAAACAGG